CCUACGGGAGGCAGCAGUGGGGAAUAUUGCACAAUGGGGUUAACCCUGAUGCAGCGAAGCCGCGUGGGGGAAGGAGUAUUUCGGUGUGUAAAGCCCUAUCAGCAAGGGAGAACAAUGACGGUACCUUACUAAGAAGCACCGUCUAAAUACGUGCCAGCAGCCGCGGUAAUACGUCUGGUGCAGGCGUUAUCCGGAUUUACUGGGUGUAAAGGGAGCGCAGGCGGCGCGUUAAGCGUGGUGGUAAAGCCGCGGGGCUCAACUCGGGACUGCAGUGGGAACUGGCGUGCUGGAGUGCCGGAGGGGUAGGCGGAAUGCCUAGUGUAGCGGUGAAAUGCGUAGAUAUUACGAAGAACACCAGUGGCGAAGGCGGCAUACUGGACGGUGACUGACGCUGAGGCACGAAAGCGUGGGGAGCAAACAGGAUUAGAUACCCGGGUAGUC
rnacentral:rRNA from 1 species